UAAACAAAAUGACUCAACUUUACAGCCCAGUUAUCCCGUAAAUAACCUGUUUCUAUGACGACCAACAUGCAUCUUGCUCGAGACUUAAUGACCACUACCAGUUCAGAUUGAUCUCAGAAAAAAAAGUUUGGUCAUAGCAGAUGUAAUUUGAAAGAGGCCCAAGGUGUAGGAGUUGAAGAGCACAAAAUGAAAGGAUAGAAUUUUUACAUGAUAAAUUGCGGCAUUUGCUUUUUAAACUCUGUAACUUGGAUCAAAACCCUUUAAACACUUAAAUGCAGGUCAUUGGGUCCACGGGGACACCGGUGUCCUCCUGAUAGUUAAAGGCUUAAACCUUUUGGGUCUCCUUCCACUAGCUUCUCAUAAUAGUUUGCUGGAAUUAUAGCAUACUCCUCCAGACGUAGUUGGUGAAAUCGAGUCAUGUUUCCAGGUAACAUUGCUCUCACAAACACCUUUUCAGUUCUGCUAGCACAUGAGAUUUGACAUCUGGGCUUGGUGAUGCCCUCUCCAAAACAUUGGCUUGAUUGCUAUUAAUCCAGUCUCUCAAUAAUUUCACACUAUGCUUUCAGGUAUUGCUCAUUUUGUACCCAAGUUUUUACUGCCAGUCUGAAAUCCGAAGUCAGACGAUUUUACUAACAGGCUGAAGUCUUGAGAUCUUGCUUCAAUAUUUCCAUGAUACUUGCACCAGUCUCUCCUGCAGCUAAACACUAACGAUGCUGCCAGCCCCAUUCUUCACAGUUGGGGUGGUAGUCUUAGUUUUGCAAAUCUUUGCAUUAAAUCCCUUUUUCUAACUGGUAGCUGCAGCUUUAAUUCUUAGUUAUUCAUUACAAAGAAGAAACAGAGUGCUUGUUACAGAAACAUUCAGGUAGACCAUGAAGCACCAUGGUUCCCCAGUGAUAUGCAUUGAGAAAAUGCGUUGAGGAUCACUGCUGUGUGUUGUGUGUAAGUCUGUGUGGCUGUUUUAUGGUUCUCUUGGAUUAGCAAGUUAAAUUUAACCAGCGUUUAUCCCCGAGUGUGCAGAAUAGCGGGAUUAUCCCUGAGCUCAUAGAGGUUAUAUUAUAUAGAGAGGAGAGAAGAGGGGCCAUUGUGUAAUUGUGUGCCAGCAGAAGAAGAAAAUGCUUCCAUAAACCUGUUUGGCUGCUCAUUAGCAGACUAACUUUACACAUGCUGACCUGUCACAGUGUGGUCAACUAAAGGAAUUUAUUAGGAUAAUUAUCAAUCACAUUUUGGGAGCAGACCUGGCAUGAUUAAUUAGUAUUGUAGUCAAGACUACGAAACCC